GAGCAAAGUUUCGUUAAUUGAAAAUUGUAGCUACAGACUACAGAGAAUCUAGGAUCAGUCCAACUACCCUCUUUGUGAUUCUUCUUAAGAAUCAACUAAAAGUGGUUACAUAAAUUAUUUUAUGUUAUACACAUGAUUUAUGGACCCCUAAUCCAAAAAGGAAUGCAUAUGUGGGAAGGUAAAUGCUGUGGCAAUAACAAUCUUUCAUUCCUUUUCCUGUUUUGCAUCUGAAUCAAGGAUUCUCAUGUACGUUUCUUGAAUUGGAAAUUCGUUAGUGAUGAUGAGGGUCUGGACCACCUGGACUGAGUCGAUUAGGCUCAUAAUAAUUAUCUGUACCUAGCAAUUGUUUCCUUAGCAAAAUUUCCUUCAGCAAUUUUGUGGCACUCCCUGCAAAUGCAUGGCUUUGAUUACUUUUUGAGAAUGUGGAAGGUAGAGGACGGGCUUCUUGGCAGAUCAGAAUUGACGUGAAGAGAAGGACAAUGCAUAAUAUUCUCAAGCUUAUUGCCAUAGGGAUAGAUAGAUAGAACAUAGAAGUAACUAAAGCCAGCCAAAAUUUUAUGUAUGGAUAGA
rnacentral:lncRNA from 1 species